rnacentral:rRNA from 1 species
UACGUAGGGGCUAGCGUUGUCCGGAUUUAUUGGGCGUAAAGAGCGUGUAGGCGGCCAGGUAGGUCUGCUGUGAAAACUCGAGGCUCAACCUCGAGACGUCGGCGGAAACCAUCUGGCUAGAGUCCGGAAGAGGAGAGUGGAAUUCCUGGUGUAGCGGUGAAUGCGUAGAUAUCGGGAGGAACACCUGUGGCGAAGCGGCGCACUGGACCACACUGACGCUGAGGCGCGAAAGCUAGGGGAGCAAACAGG